rnacentral:misc_RNA from 1 species
UCCGAGUUGACCCCGGCAGUCUCCUGCGAGUCCCCGCCAUUACGCGCUGGCAACACAGGACAAGGGUUGCGCUCGUUGCGGGACUUAACCCAACAUCUCACGACACGAGCUGACGACAGCCAUGCACCACCUGUACACCGACAAAAAGGGGCCACAUCUCUGCAGCUUUCCGGUGUAUGUCAAACCCAGGUAAGGUGGGGAUGACGUAUGCGUAACAGAA